GGCUACUCCUGUUAUAUCUCUGGCAAGUCUAGAGGUAGUUUUUUUCCGCUGCUCUGUCCCAGAGUGUUACUGGGACAGAGCUCUUUCUGUACUGCUGCUCUUGUUAUCAUAGUGCUCAACUGUGAGGAAAGUCACCUGUGUAAGGCAAAUCCUAGGAAAAAAAAAAAAAAAAAAGCCAAGCAAAACAACCAGGCCUGCCUUUUGUAUGAGAAAUUGCAUUCCAGCCAAGAAAAUAUCAUAAAAAAAUAAAAGGUCCAGGGCGCAGGAGGAUUCCUUCUGAUUUGAUUGGAAGAGCAGAGAAACCAAGUUCCAAAUAAGCCUGGCUGGAGCCUGUUAGGAGUCAGCAUUAUCAGCAGGAAGUGUGGCCAGAGGGGCUCAGGCAGAACUCAGGGUGGCUCUGACCAGUACUGGCCACAUCUGCUCUGUCCUUGCUAAGGUGGGCAAAGGCAAAUCUGACAAGUGAGUCUGUGCUUGAGACUCUCACUCAGCCGUCUUAAAAUCUGCCUAUAAAAUGAAAGCAUGCUUGGGUUUAGUUGAUUUAUAGCACUUAAAAGUGGUCUUAAAGUAUUCUUCAAUAACUACAUCCGGAAUUAAGGCUCCAUGCCAGAGUUCUUUUAUACAAGCAUCAUUCUAAUAGACAGUGGUUGUUCAUCUGGACUAGUUUUAAUGUCUCUUCUUUUUUAAUAUCUUCUGUUUUGUUUUUUUUCUAAGUUCCCAUUCAUUUUUCUGUAUUGCUGUGAAUGUUCACCCUCAUACUCUGGACAGUGAUUUUGGGGUUUUUUUUCUUCAUUUCACAGCUAUGAUACUUUGCUUAGUAAAAUUCUCUGAAGCGCUUACCUGGCUGCAGCCUAUAGCACUUUCUUGGAGAGUAAUGCUGCUUCUCGCAGCCAGCGCUGCAGUGUUCUCGGUGUCUGUGCAAUUUUUCACUGUACCCUGUAACCUCAGAAUCCAUGGCUGUCUCUCAGGGUUCUGGAGGAGUGCUGUGUUUGGAUUUUUGUGGGAAGUGCAUGAUCUAAACUGUGGCAUCUCGGCUAUAUUCUAGGAAGCUCGGAGAAGCAAGCUGCUCCUCACGAGGAACCGCUUAUUCUUGAAAGUUGAGCUUCAAGGUGCUGCAAGAGGUAGAUAAGAUACUGAAUGCUCUGGAGACAAGACUGACCACGAUUGAGUCCCGUGGGGCUACUCUGCACAGGCAGGUCUGAGAGGAAAUACAUCUUGAAGUGCGGGAGAAAGGCAAAUGUGAAACUUGGCCCCGUUAUCCUCUGGGAUCUGUGGGAACAUUUCAAAGGCUGUGAGAGAGCUGAAAGCCGUGGGUGGCCUGUCCUGUGGGGGAGCAGUGCUGACUGAGGCUGUGUCCCAGCCAAGGAGAUCCUCUUCUGUCCCUGAAGAUGAUACACCAGGGGUUUUCUUCUUAAUAAAGUCUUCUGACCAGUCCUGUA